rnacentral:rRNA from 1 species
UUCGGAGAGUUUGAUCCUGGCUCAGGAUGAACGCUGGCGGCGUGCCUAAUACAUGCAAGUCGAGCGAACUGAUUAGAAGCUUGCUUCUAUGACGUUAGCGGCGGACGGGUGAGUAACACGUGGGCAACCUGCCUGUAAGACUGGGAUAACUUCGGGAAACCGAAGCUAAUACCGGAUAGGAUCUUCUCCUUCAUGGGAGAUGAUUGAAAGAUGGUUUCGGCUAUCACUUACAGAUGGGCCCGCGGUGCAUUAGCUAGUUGGUGAGGUAACGGCUCACCAAGGCAACGAUGCAUAGCCGACCUGAGAGGGUGAUCGGCCACACUGGGACUGAGACACGGCCCAGACUCCUACGGGAGGCAGCAGUAGGGAAUCUUCCGCAAUGGACGAAAGUCUGACGGAGCAACGCCGCGUGAGUGAUGAAGGCUUUCGGGUCGUAAAACUCUGUUGUUAGGGAAGAACAAGUACGAGAGUAACUGCUCGUACCUUGACGGUACCUAACCAGAAAGCCACGGCUAACUACGUGCCAGCAGCCGCGGUAAUACGUAGGUGGCAAGCGUUAUCCGGAAUUAUUGGGCGUAAAGCGCGCGCAGGCGGUUUCUUAAGUCUGAUGUGAAAGCCCACGGCUCAACCGUGGAGGGUCAUUGGAAACUG